AUAAACGCUGGCGGCGCACAUAAGACAUGCAAGUCGAACGAGUAGAGAUAUUUCUUUAGUUAUAUCGAAGCUAGUGGCGGACUGGUGAGUAUAAUGUAAGCAACCUGCCUAUUAGAGGGGAACAACAGUGGGAAACUACUGCUAAUACCGCAUAAUGUUAUUUGGGGGCAUCCCUGAAUAACCAAAGAUUUAUUGCUGAAAGAUGGUCUCGCGUCUGAUUAGCUAGUUGGUGAGGUAACGGCUCACCAAGGCGACGAUCAGUAGCCGGUCUGAGAGGAUGAACGGCCACAUUGGGACUGAGAUACGGCCCAGACUCCUACGGGAGGCAGCAGUGAGGAAUAUUGGUCAAUGGGCGCAAGCCUGAACCAGCCAAGUCGCGUGAAGGACGACGGUCCUAAGGAUUGUAAACUUCUUUUGUCGGGGAGUAAAAUCGGAUAUGUAUAUUCGACUGCAAGUACCCGAAGAAAAAGCAUCGGCUAACUCCGUG
rnacentral:rRNA from 1 species